AGUGAACGCUGGCGGUAGACCUAACACAUGCAAGUCGAACGGCAGCACAGUAAGAGCUUGCUCUUACGGGUGGCGAGUGGCGGACGGGUGAGGAAUACAUCGGAAUCUACUUUUUCGUGGGGGAUAACGUAGGGAAACUUACGCUAAUACCGCAUACGACCUACGGGUGAAAGCAGGGGAUCUUCGGACCUUGCGCGAUUGAAUGAGCCGAUGUCGGAUUAGCUAGUUGGCGGGGUAAAGGCCCACCAAGGCGACGAUCCGUAGCUGGUCUGAGAGGAUGAUCAGCCACACUGGAACUGAGACACGGUCCAGACUCCUACGGGAGGCGGCAGUGGGGAAUAUUGGACAAUGGGCGCAAGCCUGAUCCAGCCAUACCGCGUGGGUGAAGAAGGCCUUCGGGUUGUAAAGCCCUUUUGUUGGGAAAGAAAAGCAGCAGGUUAAUACCCCGCUGUUCUGACGGUACCCAAAGAAUAAGCACCGGCUAACUUCGUG
rnacentral:rRNA from 1 species